rnacentral:rRNA from 1 species
GACGAACGCUGGCGGCGUGCCUAAUACAUGCAAGUUGAGCGCUGAAGGUUGGUCCUUGUACCAACUGGAUGAGCAGCGAACGGGUGAGUAACGCGUGGGGAAUCUGCCUUUGAGCGGGGGACAACAUUUGGAAACGAAUGCUAAUACCGCAUAAAAACUUUAAACACAAGUUUUAAGUUUGAAAGAUGCAAUUGCAUCACUCAAAGAUGAUCCCGCGUUGUAUUAGCUAGUUGGUGAGGUAAAGGCUCACCAAGGCGAUGAUACAUAGCCGACCUGAGAGGGUGAUCGGCCACCUUGGGACUGAGACACGGCCCAAACUCCUACGGGAGGCAGCAGUAGGGAAUCUUCGGCAAUGGACGAAAGUCUGACCGAGCAACGCCGCGUGAGUGAAGAAGGUUUUCGGAUCGUAAAACUCUGUUGGUAGAGAAGAACGUUGGUGAGAGUGGAAAGCCCAUCAAGUGACGGUAACUACCCAGAAAGGGACGGCUAACUACGUG